rnacentral:tRNA from 1 species
UGCCCUGUGGUGUAAUGGUAGCACAUCGGAUUCUGGUUCCGCUGGUCUGGGUUCGAGUCCUGGCAGGGCAA